rnacentral:rRNA from 1 species
AGUUCGGAUUGCAGUCUGCAACUCGACUGCAUGAAGCUGGAAUCGCUAGUAAUCGCGAAUCAGAAUGUCGCGGUGAAUACGUUCCCGGGCCUUGUACACACCGCCCGUCACACCAUGGGAGUUGGAAGCACCCGAAGUCGGUGACCUGACCGAAAGGGAGGAGCCGCCGAAGGUGAAGCCAGCGACUGGGGUGAAGUCGUAACAAGGUAAC